rnacentral:rRNA from 12 species
UCUUUAUACCGUACCUGUUGGAAGUGGAGAAAGCAAGCAAGAUCGGACCUGGUUAGUACUUAGAUAGGGGACCACCUUGGAAUACCAGGUAUCAUAAGGGC